GGAAGAUGGUCAUUGUUCUCAGGACUGGUUCGUCUAGCAGGGGGUUUUACUCACUUACAAACACAGAGAUAAGCUCCACACAGCUCUUGGCUUACCUCAGCGUUAGCUCCACGACUCUAAGACAGGAAGGAGGAGGAGUUGGCAUCCAGCAGAGAAAGAACAUGCUGUGUGUCCACAGUGGUGCAAGUCGAAGCAUGUAUUCUGUGACUCCCGGAAGUCAAGUCUUCUUGUUCAGCUUUCAGUUUUUUUAUUUAGGAUUAUACCAGG